CAAAGAAUAGUUUUUAAAAAAAAUUAUAAUUUUGGAGAUUAUAGAUAAAGAGAUAUCUUUUUCUUUGA
rnacentral:tRNA from 1 species